ACAGUGGUGUAUGCAUUUUUAAAGGGUCAUCAUCUCACUUUUGCCUCCAGUAUGCUGAGUUAGCAUCACUCUGGCUAGCAGCUCCUGCUGAGAGCUGUGAGUGAUCAGAGAGGAGCAGUAACGCAUGAGGAAGCACCCAGCAGUGACCCUUUUGACACAUACAGAUGCUGUUGAGGUGACAGUAGUGUGACAGCAUCCAUUUCCUUCUGGGAAUUUCUCUCUUGGCAAGAACACAGAGGGUCUGGCAUUUGCUUGCUCUGGUGUGAAACUUCCAGUCCUGCAAUGCCCAGUCAUGCUUCUAUCCCUUCCCCCUUUCCAAGGGAUGUCUGCAGUAGCCCUGUGUGCUCACAUGGUUGGGGGCACAGCUCUGUGCUGUCAGUGGGAGGAUGGUGUGAAUUCUGAAGAGCUUAGCCAUGUUCUGCAUUAUGUAUUACUCUUACAUACCUGCGGUUAAAUACUUCUCUAUUAGAUGCCACUGUAUUAGUCUUGGAGGGCUUGGGGUGAGCAAUUCUGGCUCUGUGGAAGUCAGUGGUGUUGACUUCCAAGCAGUCAAGAUCCUGCUUCUUUGCUCCCUGAAACACAUGUCCUUGCAAGACAGGGCUGGUUUUCCUGGAAGCAGUUUUCCUGAGCAAACAGUUAUUGCUCAUCACUGCCCUCAGUAGCCUGAGCCAGAUUUGCUUUGAUUUUUAGCUGAGUUUUGGGCCUGUUCUAUUUUGGACUAGGUGACAUUGGCUCUGCCAGAGAUGUUCUUUACACAAGCACGCAUCACUGGGCAUCUGUGCCAAAGGAAUGGGACCCAUUAAUUCUUUUCCAUUUAUAGACCCGGCUUUUAAAAGCAAAGAGCUCAUUAAUGUAGAAUUUUCUUCCCCAAAUCUAGAAGUGUUGCUGACUCCUACACAGCCAUGUCCACAGAGGUGUUUCCACCACCUCCACAACCUAAGCCAUGGACAGAUGUCCUGUUCAAAACAUGUAUCCAGCUCCUCUAACCUGCCAGCAGGACUCGUUAGAUGGAAGGACUGAUUUGGGUCAAGGGCUGAAGGGCAGCACUUUAGCCACCUGCUUUCCCAGGCCAUGCCUGGGGCCAAGCUGGCUGCCAGCACCUCUCACAGUGCAGCCACCCCAGGGAGUUGUGCAGCUCAGCGUUGUGAAGGAUGCUUCGUUGUGAAGCAGAGGGAGAUGUCAACUUCUUGCUUCACUGCCAGGAGCAAAGCUGCGGCUGGUACAAGUUCAGACCUGACUGUGAUGUGCCCUGUGUGCGAGGAGGGAGAGUCAGGGGAGACAUCGAUGGCAUCAAAGUUGACAAGACCAUUGACAAGGGAGCAGUGGCUCACUGGGAACUGAGGACUUGAGCCAAGAAGAAGCUGCAGGUGGAGCACAAAGUGCCACCAGUUCUGACAGCAGCAGCAGCACCAAUGAUGACUGAGGGCCAUUGACCACUGAAUGCUGGAUGUAUCUGACUGAACCAACAGCCUCAGGGUGUUUGCAGACUUGGGGACAAAAGACUCAGUUUUAAACCUCGUGGUUUAAAGAAGCUUUCUAAAUAAGACAUCUGCCAAAGGCCCCAAAUCCAGCAACUCUGUGGAAGAAUACACCAUUUUGAAAGCUUGGGGUGUUUAAGGCACACUCAGAUGUGUCCCACAAAUGCUACAUAGCAUCAAUGAUACACUGAAAACGCUCUUCUGGUCCAAAGCAACUCCAUAUUUUCUCCCUUUUUCUCCUAUGUCUUGACUGCAGAGCAGGUGAUCUAGAUGUGCUUUCCAGAUGAAAGGGAAUGUUCUUAACUCAGGAAUAAAUGUAAGGAUAUUUUUCGGCUUAAUGUAAUGAAAAGAAUGCAUUUUGGCUCAAUACAACAUCGCGCUACAUGUGUCCA